UACGAAGGGAGCUAGCGUUGUUCGGAAUCACUGGGCGUAAAGCGCACGUAGGCGGAUGUGUCAGUCAGGGGUGAAAUCCCGGAGCUCAACUUCGGAACUGCCUUUGAUACAGCACGUCUUGAGUCUGAUAGGGGUGGGUGGAAUUCCUAGUGUAGAGGUGAAAUUCGUAGAUAUUAGGAAGAACACCGGUGGCGAAGGCGGCCCACUGGAUCGGUACUGACGCUGAGGUGCGAAAGCGUGGGGAGCAAACAGG
rnacentral:rRNA from 1 species